rnacentral:lncRNA from 1 species
CCUUCCCCAGCCCUGCCCCCGCAGACUCCCCCUGCCGCCAAGACUUCCAAUAAAACCUGCUGCAGCGCGCCUUCGCCGCCAAAGCAUCCAGCAGCCCCCUGCUCCGGCCCAGCAUGGCGACCCCGACCCAGACCCCCACAAAGGCUGGCCAGGAGUAGUGCACAUUCCUUUGCCUGACUCCUGGCCCCACCCUUAGCCCAGCCACGCCUGAGGGCCCAGGUUGCCGGGGCAGCAGGGACCAGAGGAGGAUCUUCCGCAUGGAGGAGGAUCUUCCACAUGGAACACCAGAUUCUGGGACAGGGGCUCACCCAGUGGGCUCCCGAUAACUUUGGGGAAGGACGGGUGUGUGGAAAACAGACAAGUGAGACAAUCCACCUUUUACAGCCUCCUGCAGCCUAGGACUGCCUCAUAAUCAUUCCUUCAUUCAUUCAUCCCAGAAAACUUGAAGAGCCUUUCAUAAAUGUCAGGAUGAACAGCAGUGAUGAGUCAAACAAAUUUACUCUCUGGUGGGGAAACUUACACAGAGCACAAGGGACCCUGAAGCAGCGUCUCACCAUCUUGGCGCUUUUGAGUACUACCGUCACAAUUUUUGCUUUAUUCAAAUAUUCCUCACACUGCUAUUUAUUUAAUUUUUUUCCUUAAAAGGAUUAGCUUUUUUAUUUUUAUUUUUUGAGACAAGGUCUCACUCUGUCGCCUAGGCUGGAGUGCAAUGGCACGAUCACAGCUCACUGCAGCCUCAACAUCCUGGGCUCAAUCUAUCCUCCUGCCUCAGCCUCCCAAGUAGCUGGGACUACAAGGCACUUCUGCUACACCCAGCUAAUUUUUGUAUUUUUCAUAGAGACUGCUUUUGCUAUGUUUCCCAGCCUGGUCUCAAACUUCUGGGCUCAAGCAAUUCACCCACUUUGGCUUCCCAAAGUGCUUAGGAUGACAGGCGUGGGCCACCAUGCCCAACCCAGGAUUAGCUUUUGAAAACAACGAGCUUUAUUUUAUAGCACCAUCACAACUGGAAAAUUAAUCUUCUUUUUUUUUUUGAGACAGAGUCUCGCUCUGUCAUCCAGGCUGGAGUGCAGUGGCACGAUCUUGGCUUACUGCAACCUCUGCCUCCCGGGUUCAAGCAAUUCUUCUGCCUCAGCCUCCCAAGUAGCUGGGACUAGCAGCGGCACACCACCACACCCAGCUAAUUUUUGUAUUGUUAGUACAGAUGGGGUUUCACCAUAUUGGCCAGGCUGGUCUCAAACUCCUGACCUCGUGAUCCGCCCACCUUGUAUUCCCAAAGUGCUGGGAUUACAGGCAUGAAUCACUGUGCCCAGCUGGAAAAUUCAUCUUCUUUUUGCCUUAAGUUGAAGGCAGCAUAAGAGCAAUCUGAAGCAGGUGAUUUCGCUUUUCUGGGUCUGGUGUCCCCCUUCCAGGAAAUGGGGAUGAAGAUCGCACCCAUAUGAAAGAGUUGCUAUGAAGAUUAAGAGUAAAUGCGCUGAUAUCUGUCAGAUGCUUAGCAGGGAGGCUGGAAUGGAGUCAGGGCUACCCACUGCUGGUUACAUCAAUAAAUAAAGGAGAAAACCAAAUAAUGC